rnacentral:snRNA from 1 species
AUCGCUUCUCGGCCUUUUGGCUAAGAUCAAGUGUAGUAUAAAUGACUGAUUUCCAGCACUUUUAAUCAUAUAGCCUUGUUCAUAAAAUAUUACAUACUUGAAUUUUCUUACUAAUAUUUUUACAUUAU